ACAACUGGCUCAGAGAUGAGAGCGUUCUGAUCCGUUUUUUUUUUUUUUUUUCUUCUUCUUCCCUUCCUUGUUGUCGAGCAUCUGUAAGGCUGCGCUGUACCUGCCUGCAGAUCGAGGGGGGCUGGGAAGCGACCGGUCAGGACCGGUCCGGCACGCUGGGGGCACAGGGGUAACGGGCUGCACUCUGCUCCGCCGCGGUUUUCCCCCCAGCAGGCUAAACCCCGUAUACAUCAACUGUGGACGGAGGCAAGGCGGGCUUAUCACCCAAGGCAUAUCAGAGCCCAACAUCAGACGGCACCCUGGCUUUGUGCUCAGUAGGAGGGCGCGUCUGCAGCAGGACUGAAGGGGGAACACUCAUUACUCUUGGAUAUGUGCCAGUGAAACAGCCUGGGCUUAGGCACUGAACACGGGAGCGAUGGGAAUCGUAUGGAUGGAAAUCAGGGGUCCGGGGAUGGAGGCUGGCUGCAGAAUGCUGAUGUUCCAGAAAAGCCAUUGAUGGGGCCUUGCCUUGAGAUACAGGGCAUCUUCAAUCAAUCAUUUCAAAACUGCUCGCUGUUGCCAAAUGGUUGAGGAUCAUGCAGUAUCUUUCAAUUGGUUUUGCUCCCUUCCUAAAGACUCUCUUCGGUGACGGGUAUUCUUGGGUGGAUAAUACGGAUCACGUUGUUAUUGCUUAAGAAUACGCGUAGUCGAGGAGAGUCAUUUCUUCAGCGACUUCAAGGAACUAAAAUCCAAUGAACUUAAAUCCUAAAGUGCUCAGCUGCCUGGUCUCUUUAUAUUGUAGGCUACAGCACAGAAACAUUGGAGACAGCACCAUGUUCCAUUUUUCAAGAUACAUCACCAUUCCUUGUUUAUUUCUGUGCUGUUGAGCCUUUGGAAAUAGUGCAGCUGUACCGACAUUGCCUUUUUCAUUUCUUUUCUCGAUCCAUAGUUGUGAAUGUUUUUUUUUUUCUUCAGAAAAUUAUUUUGGAUGAAUAUUUUGUAAUUAAUUCACUUUGCUGCCAAUGGAGUGUCAUUUACUUUGAGUGCAUGAGUUCAAUACAUUUUAUGUAGGCGUUUACCCAUAUUUUGUUGCUUGAGCUUCAUACACAAUAUACUAUGCUUUGUUUCUUUUGGAGUUUACAGAAUGUUCAAAAGGAAGGUUGUGUUGUAUAUAGAGGUGGCUCAGGCUACAAAUGGAAAUGCAAGUGGUAUUAUUUUUUCGUUAUCUGUCCCCAAGACCAGACAUUUUAUCUUACCGCCUCCAGCCCCACCCCUAGCCCCUCCUUCCCAUGCACACACACGUACACAAGCAUGCACAUGCACAUGCACGUGUAUACGCACACACACACACUCACAGACACACACACACCUUUUUAUGCAAAUUGAUAUUGAAAUUACAUUUCCUGUCCAGAGUUUCCACUCUGUGGAUGGCGGAGCCACAAUGGUCGUGAAACAAAAUGUCCACCAUGUCAGCUACAGCUCAAUUUAUGCAAUGAGAGGCCAAGUGUGUCUGAGCAAAUGACACACUCCAGGUUAGCCACUGCCCCCAUCUCAGCUGAGUGUUGUCACUUUUUCCUAAUGCAUACAUUUUGUUCCUUCCACUGUAUUUUAAUACAGAGCAUAUCUGCUGAAUAUCACCCCAAAUUUAAUGUUUUCUACUAGGCAGUGAUUUCAGUGGUAGAGCUAUAAAGAUUUUCAUGAAUAUAUAUUUAUUUAAUAAUUCCAGAACAUGUAAAAAGAAGCCAUAACCAAAGAUAAUGUGUUCACUUGAUGUUUUUUUUUUUUCAGUUGAAAUAUUUAUUUAUGUUUGUCAAAAUCAAUAAAGCAUUUCUAUUGAUCAAA